AUGGAGAUUGCGGCUGAGUGCGAGCACCACAUGGAGCCGGUGCUGGUGGCACCGAGCCAGCCGACGCCGGGGCACACCCUCUACCUCUCCAACCUCGACGACCAGUGCCUCCUCCGCUUCUCCGUCGAGUUCCUCUUCGUGUUUGCGGGUGCGGUCGACGUCGACGCCCUUAGGACGGCGCUGUCCAGGGUCCUCGUCGACUACUACCCACUCGCCGGCAGGCUCGGGCCCGGGGACGACGGCAAGCUUGUCGUCAGGGCCGGCCCUGUGUUUUGGGAGACCCUAGGCGAACUCGGCGACAUGAGCCCCUAUGUCGUAAGAUCAUAUAUAUGUAUGUGUGCGUGUGAUACAUAA
rnacentral:rRNA from 1 species